rnacentral:rRNA from 1 species
UAGGGAAUCUUCCACAAUGGGCGCAAGCCUGAUGGAGCAACACCGCGUGAGUGAAGAAGGGUUUCGGCUCGUAAAGCUCUGUUGUUGGAGAAGAACGUGCGUGAGAGUAACUGUUCACGCAGUGACGGUAUCCAACCNGAAAGUCACGGCUAACUACGUGCC